rnacentral:rRNA from 1 species
CCGCGGGAUUGAGUUUGAUCCUGGCUCAGAAUCAACGCUGGCGGCGUGCCUAACACAUGCAAGUCGCACGAGAAAGGGGACUUCGGUCCCUGAGUAAAGUGGCGCACGGGUGAGUAACACGUGAAUAAUCUACCUCCGAGUGGGGAAUAACUCCGGGAAACCGGGGCUAAUACCGCAUAACACUUACGAGUCAAAGCAGCAAUGCGCUUGGAGAGGAGUUCGCGGCAGAUUAGUUAGUUGGCGGGGUAAUGGCCCACCAAGACGAUGAUCUGUAUCCGGCCUGAGAGGGCGCACGGACACACUGGAACUGAAACACGGUCCAGACUCCUACGGGAGGCAGCAGUGGGGAAUUUUGCGCAAUGGGGGAAACCCUGACGCAGCAACGCCGCGUGGAGGAUGAAAUCCCUUGGGAUGUAAACUCCUUUCGAUCGGGAAGAUAAUGACGGUACCGAGAGAAGAAGCCCCGGCUAACUUCGUGCCAGCAGCCGCGGUAAUACGAGGGGGGCAAGCGUUGUUCGGAAUUAUUGGGCGUAAAGGGUGCGUAGGCGGUUUGAUAAGUUUGGUGUGAAAUCUCUGGGCUCAACCCAGAGUCUGCAUCGAAAACUGUCGGGCUUGAGUAUGGGAGAGGUGAGUGGAAUUUCCGGUGUAGCGGUGAAAUGCGUAGAUAUCGGAAGGAACACCUGUGGCGAAAGCGGCUCACUGGACCAUAACUGACGCUGAUGCACGAAAGCUAGGGGAGCAAACAGGAUUAGAUACCCUGGUAGUCCUAGCCCUAAACGAUGAUUGCUUGAUGUGGUGGGUACCCAAUCCCGCCGUGUCGAAACUAACGCGAUAAGCAAUCCGCCUGGGGAGUA